UUCUACAAGUGAUUCAUUACCAGUAAGAUCGGCAGUCUUGUUAGGAACGAAAUUAGAACCUAGACGACCCAAAGCAAAUUUUGUAGCAUUGUACAACUUGUUACAGAAUUUACGAUAUCCUUCAACACGAAGGAUAUCAAGGUUGAGAUCACGACCACCAGUAGUCAAGGAACAGAGGGUAAAACGCAAAGCGUCAGUUCCACAUUGAGGUAUACCCUUGGGAUAGCUCAACCGUUGACCCUUUUUAGCUUUUUCGACCUCUCUGCUGUCGAGAUUGCCAACCAAAAGCUUAUCAUGUAAUGCUUGUAGAGAAAUACCCUCAAUGACAUCUAUAGGAUCCACAACAUUUCCCAAUGAUUUAGACAUUUUGCGG